AUUAUAUCAAACCCAAUUGCUUAUCUAAAUAUAUCUCGAUUAGAAGGUGAUGAUUCAGUUGAUGAUACAUUAGAAAUCUCUUUCUAAUUAUCAUCUUACUUUGGCCAAAGAUUUUUAGAAUCAUCAACCUAUGAGAUCACAUAGGAUGUUCGCUCUCCUUAUUAGGAGUGACUGAUCUCUUAUUGAUUACUUACAACCUCCAUGUACACUCCUCUAUA
rnacentral:lncRNA from 1 species